AUCCAAACUUCAUCAAAAUCCAAUUUCUGUCUUUUCAAUGAAGUAUAUUCCUCUCCCACCAAGAAAUUUCACUCUGGUAGAAGACUCCUGCCACGACCACCAAGCUUUCUCAAAGAUGCCUUGGAAUCCUGGAGGCUUUGGAACUCUAUGCUGGAUCUUCUGCAUCUGGCUGGCCAACAAGGCAAGAAUGAGCCACCGUGGAAUGCACAGAGGAGGUAUUUAGGUUGCCAGGCCUGGAAAUGACACACAUCACUGCCAUCCACCUUCCACUUGCCAAAACUCUCACAGACCUGCAAGGACAGAAAUGUAAUUAAGCUGUGUGUCCUAGGGGUGUGGGGGAAUGGAAAUUGAUAAAAUGCUAAGAUUCUCUGCUACCCAUUUCUUUGAGUAUUUGCUGGGCAUGUGUAACUUAAAAC
rnacentral:lncRNA from 10 species